CCUACGGGUGGCAGCAGUGAGGAAUAUUGGUCAAUGGACGAGAGUCUGAACCAGCCAAGUAGCGUGAAGGAUGACUGCUCUAUGGGUUGUAAACUUCUUUUAUAUGGGAAUAAAUUGUUCCAUGUGUGGGAUUUUGUAUGUACCAUAUGAAUAAGGAUCGGGUAACUCCGUGCCAGCAGCCGCGGUAAUACGGAGGCACCGGGCGUUAUCCGGAUUUAUUGGGUUAAAGGGGAGCGUAGGUGGAUUGUUAAGUCAGUUGUGAAAGUUUGAGGCUAAACCGUAAAAUUGCAGUUGAAACAGGCAGUCAUGAGUACAGUAGAGGUGGGCGGAAUUCGGGGUGAGGCGGUGAAAUGCUUAGAUACCACGGAGAAAUCCGAUUGCGAAGGCAGCUCACUGGACUGCAACUGACACUGAGGAUCGAAAGUGUGGGUAUCAAACAGGAUUAGAAACCCGGGUAGU
rnacentral:rRNA from 1 species